rnacentral:rRNA from 1 species
CCUACGGGAGGCAGCAGUGAGGAAUAUUGGUCAAUGGGCGGAAGCCUGAACCAGCCAAGUCGCGUGAGGGAAUAAGGCCCUACGGGUCGUAAACCUCUUUUGCCGGGGAGCAAGGGCGGGGACGUGUCCCGGCCCGGAGAGUACCCGGAGAAAAAGCAUCGGCUAACUCCGUGCCAGCAGCCGCGGUAAUACGGAGGAUGCGAGCGUUAUCCGGAUUUAUUGGGUUUAAAGGGUGCGUAGGCGGGCUUUUAAGUCAGCGGUAAAAAUUCGGGGCUCAACCCCGUCCGGCCGUUGAAACUGGGGGCCUUGAGUGCGCGAGAAGUAUGCGGAAUGCGUGGUGUAGCGGUGAAAUGCAUAGAUAUCACGCAGAACUCCGAUUGCGAAGGCAGCAUACCGGCGCGCAACUGACGCUCAUGCACGAAAGCGUGGGUAUCGAACAGGAUUAGAUACCCGGGUAGUC